GAUUAACGCUGGCGGCGUGCAUAACACAUGCAAGUCGAACGAUGAAACUUAGUAGACUUCUUCGGAAAGACACUAAGCGGAUUAGUGGCGAACGGGUUAGUAACGCGUGAGUAACCUGCCUUACACAAGGGGAUAGCCUUUGUAAACGAAGAAUAAUACCCUAUAAAACCAUAGAAGCACAUGCUAGAAUGGUCAAGGUGAUAGCGGUGUAAGAUGGACUUGCGUCUGAUUAGCUAGUUGGUGAGAUAAAAGCUCACCAAGGCAACGAGCAGUAGCCGGCUUGAGAGAGGGUACGGCCGCAUUGGGACUGAGACACGGCCCAGACGCCUACGGGAGGCAGCAGUGGGGAAUUUUGCAGAAUGGGGGAAACCCUGAUGCAGCGACGCCGCGUGAUUGAGAAGGCCUUCGGGUUGUAAAAAUCUUUUGUAUAGGACGAAAAUGACAGUACUAUACGAAUAAGGUCCGGCUAAUUACGUG
rnacentral:rRNA from 1 species